rnacentral:rRNA from 1 species
AACGAAACUUCUUUAUCACCGAGUGCUUGCACCCACCGAUAAAGAGUUGAGUGGCGAACGGGUGAGUAACACGUGGGCAACCUGCCCAAAAGAGGGGGAUAGCACUUGGAAACAGGUGCUAAUACCGCAUAACCAUAGUUACCGCAUGGUAACUAUGUAAAAGGUGGCUAUGCUACCGCUUUUGGAUGGGCCCGCGGCGCAUUAGCUAGUUGGUGGGGUAAAGGCUUACCAAGGCAAUGAUGCGUAGCCGAACUGAGAGGUUGAUCGGCCACAUUGGGACUGAGACACGGCCCAAACUCCUACGGGAGGCAGCAGUAGGGAAUCUUCCACAAUGGGCGAAAGCCUGAUGGAGCAACGCCGCGUGGGUGAAG